CUAAUACAUGCAAGUCGAGCGGACAGAUGGGAGCUUGCUCCCUGAUGUCAGCGGCGGACGGGUGAGUAACACGUGGGUAACCUGCCUGUAAGACUGGGAUAACUCCGGGAAACCGGGGCUAAUACCGGAUGCUUGAUUGAACCGCAUGGUUCAAUUAUAAAAGGUGGCUUUUAGCUACCACUUACAGAUGGACCCGCGGCGCAUUAGCUAGUUGGUGAGGUAACGGCUCACCAAGGCAACCAUGCGUAUCCUACCUAAAAGGGUGAUCUGCCAC
rnacentral:rRNA from 1 species